UUCAAUCCUUUGAUGAUUCUGAUCUACUCGCAAUUAAACCGACUUAGCUCCAUUCAACUGUAUAUUAGUUUCAGUCACAGUGGUAUACCGCUUCACAAAAUUCAAAAGUGGCAGCAUGGUUCAUAAAUGAACUGCGGGCGUCCUUGUCCUCUGCCCUGCCCACAUUUAAUUUUAAUAUCUACUCUCUUCCAUUUUCACACCUACAUGUUCACACCUAUAACGAAGCCCUCAUUAACUCGUUCUAUAUAAGACCUAUUUAUAUUCAUUAUUCAUAUACAGCACCACCAUAGAUUUAAUAGCUUGUGAUUUUCUUUUGACAUUUCUGUAUUGUAGAACUCGGUUGCUCUGCUUGAGAUUGUAGUCAUGGCUGAGAGUGAAAUCAAGCUUCUGGGUGCAUGGCCAAGCCCAUUUGUGAUGCGAGCUCGGAUCGCCCUUAACAUCAAGUCCGUAGACUACGAGUUCCAUCAAGAGAAACUGGGAUCCAA
rnacentral:lncRNA from 1 species